CUUGCUUCUCAGCCUUGGACUAACAUCAAGUAUAGUAUCUGUUCUUAUUAAUUUAAUAUUUGAUAUGUGCUUUAUCUGAGGACAAUAUAUUAAAUGGAUUUUUGGAACCAGGAGAUGGAAUAGGACAUUGCUCCAUCCACUCCACACAUCAACCUGGUAAUGCAGCACUUCCAGGAAUAAUAAGAACAAC